rnacentral:rRNA from 4 species
GCGAGGAAACCCGCUGAACUUAAGCAUAUCACUAAGCGGAGGAAAAGAAACCAAUUUGGAUGC